UUCAUAUAUAUACACUACAACAAUCUGUAGUAGACUAUGGUAUACUAUAGUGUACUACGGUGUACUAUGGUAUACUAUGAUUUACUACGGUAAACUAUUCCGAACCCUAGCCGCGAACAACUCUCAAUCGGCCAGCAGCAGUAAACGCAGCCGCAACGAAAUCCUAGCAGCCAAGCCAUAUCUUCUUCAUCAACUGCCCUUAAUUUUGCUUCCAUAGCCUCAGUUUGUUUCUUCUCUCCAGCCCUAUCUUCUUCAACGCAAGCGUCAUUCAUGUAAAGGCGAGCCUUGAAGAGGUAGCGGUUAGCUCUCCCUAGGUAGCGGAUAUAAUUGGCCCUUGCGCUCAAGUUAUCCUGUACAACACGUACGGUGCGGCUGCAAAACAUGUUCUUUCAAUUGACGACAACACGGCUGCUCCACCAUCCGUUGGGCCGCUUUAAGGCAAGGCUUCCAAUCGUGUGGCACCGGAAUUGGUAUGCUCUUGUACUCACCUCCACAAUUCAGCAUUAUUUCGAACACCGACUGUCCUGGAGGAUCCGGCUCCAGAGUGUUGUACACUAUAGCAAAUAACGCGUACUCUAUUGUGUACUGGAUUUCGCGCCUCUCGUCAUCCGGCAACAUUAUAUUUUUUUUUUUCUUUUUC
rnacentral:lncRNA from 1 species